GCCUCUUUGGCUCAGAUGUCAGAGCGUCCCCCUAGUAAGGGGAAGGUCAGUGGUUCGAUUUCACUAAGGGGCA